rnacentral:ncRNA from 1 species
UUCCGAUAAGAGCAAACCGCGGGUAACCGCGGGGCGCAAAGCUGUGCACCCGCCAGAGAAUUACGGCGGGCAGGCAAGCUGCCGAA